AGUGAACGCUGGCGGUAGGCCUAACACAUGCAAGUCGAACGGCAGCACAGUAAUAGCUUGCUCUUACGGGUGGCGAGUGGCGGACGGGUGAGGAAUACAUCGGAAUCUACUUUUUCGUGGGGGAUAACGUAGGGAAACUUACGCUAAUACCGCAUACGACCUACGGGGGAAAGCAUGGGAUCUUCGGACCUUGCGCGAUUGAAUGAGCCGAUGUGGGGUUAGUUAGUUGGGGGGGUAAAGGCCCACCAAGGCGACGAUCGGCAGCUGGUCUGGGAGGCUGGUAAGCCACAUUGGAACUUGGACACGGACAAGACUACUACGGGAGGGAGCAGUGUGGAAUAUUGGACAAUGGGGGGAAGCCUGAUACAGCCAGACCGCGUGGGUGAAGAAGGCGUUGGGGUUGUAAAGCCCUUCUGUUGGGAAAGAACAGCAGCAGGUUAAUACGCCGCUGUACUGACGGUACCGAAUGAAGAAGCACCGGCUAACUUCGUG
rnacentral:rRNA from 1 species